UACGUAGGGUGCAAGCGUUGUCCGGAAUUAUUGGGCGUAAAGAGCUCGUAGGCGGUCUGUCGCGUCUGCUGUGAAAACUCGGGGCUUAACCCCGGGCCUGCAGUGGGUACGGGCUGACUGAGAGUGCGGGUAGGGACUGGAAUUCCUGGUGUAGCGGUGAAAUGCGCAGAUAUCAGGAGGAACACCGGUGGCGAAGGCGGGCUCUGGGCCGUAUGACUGCGUGAGGAGCGAAAGCGUGGGGAGCAAACAGG
rnacentral:rRNA from 1 species